GACUCGGUAGCUUAGUUGGUAAAGCACUUGUCUAGCGAAUAAAGGUCGUGAGUUCAAAUCUCACCUGAGCUG
rnacentral:tRNA from 1 species